GACGAACGCUGGCGGCGUGCCUAAUACAUGCAAGUCGAGCGGACCUCUUCGGAGGUCAGCGGCGGACGGGUGAGUAACACGUGGGCAACCUGCCUGUAAGACUGGGAUAACUCCGGGAAACCGGAGCUAAUACCGGAUAUUAUGUCAAACCGCAUGGUUUGACAUUCAAAGACGGUUUCGGCUGUCACUUACAGAUGGGCCCGCGGCGCAUUAGCUAGCUGGUGAGGUAACGGCUCACCAAGGCGACGAUGCGUAGUCGACCUGAGAGGGUGAUCGGCCACACUGGGACUGAGACACGGCCCAGACUCCUACGGGAGGCAGCAGUAGGGAAUCUUCCGCAAUGGACGAAAGUCUGACGGAGCAACGCCGCGUGAGUGAUGAAGGUUUUCGGAUCGUAAAACUCUGUUGUCAGGGAAGAACAAGUGCCGGAGUAACUGCCGGCGCCUUGACGGUACCUGACCAGAAAGCCACGGCUAACUACGUGCCAGCCGCCGCGGUAA
rnacentral:rRNA from 1 species